GAGAAAUAACUUAAUAUAAUUAUAAAAUGAAGUUGAUAAAGAACUUCAAGUUACAAGUCAAUUUAAAGAUAAAAGUCAUCCCAUAAAUAUUUGAGACGACUUAUAUACACUCAAAAAGGCUCGCUAGAACAAAUCUCAUGAUAAACAUUAAUUAAUCUCUCACCCCAAAGAUCAUGGAGAGAAUCUGCUAAAAUAGUUAGAGCUUCCAAAUUCGAGAUUUCUACAUAAUUUUCUAGUUCUACACGUUUUAAUUCAAAUAAAUAUAUAAAACUAACAAUUGUAAUACUUGGGGACGUCUUACAAGAAUUGAACUCUUUCAGUUUUUUCUCUCUUUCUCUUCGUAUAGCCCUCUCAUUUCGUAACAAAUUUUGUAUCGUCCUGGGGACACCAUUUCAUAUGAUCUUACGAUCUCGAAAAUAUGUCCUUUGACGACGUAUUCUUUCACUUUGUCUCUUUGCUUGACAUCCUGAACUCCCACAUGGAGUGAUUCGAGUUUGUCCCCGUUCAGCCAUGUCUCAAAUCGGAACCAAGAAAUAAUAAGAAUGAUCGAACCACUCAUUGUGACAUUUUAUGUCACAAUUUAUUUACAGAAUGCAAAAUCCUUUAAGGAUAAAUUAGGGACUAAAUGAGACAAAAUAAUAUCAAGAUUGAUUCUUACACAUUUAAAUCACAAACAUGUCCCCAAAAAAUAUUUAAGUGGUUACACUCCACUAAAAUUAUGUCCCUUUUUUUAAAAAAAAUUAUUUGCAACUCUCAUAAAAAGUACACUAAUACUGUUUUAAUACUAUUAUUAUAUGUUUUUCAAAAAAAAAAAAAUAAGACUUGGAAAUUGAUACCAUAAACAGUACAUUAAUACUUUUUAUCCUUUAUAAUAAAUGAAGCAUGGUAGCCUAUAUAAAAAAAUGACCCACCAUCCUGGAACAUUCAUUUGCAAAGAUCUUUUUCAUUUUUCAUAAAAGUGAAUACCAAAAUACUCAUUCUUCACUUCUUCUUCUAAAAAAAAAAAACAAAUCUCUUCAUUAUUUGUCAAAAAAAUAUGAAUGAUAUGGAAGAAACACUCUUUACACAGAUCUAUUCUACCAUGGAAUUUAAUCUGGUUAUGCUACUUUUUUUUUAAUUAUCAAAAGAAAAUCUCUCUAUUCUUUGACAGAAAAAAAUUGUGCGGAUCCGUAGUGCAAUGGUAGCGUGUAUGACAGGUCGGAAGAUUGAUAUCCGAUUUUUGUUAGGUCUAAAAUCUCGAUCUACAUUCGGUUAUGCUAUCUUUCUAACAGGUAUGCCCAUUUUCAAUAAUUCGAGGAUUUACACUUAAACUCGAUAUCAAAAUCAUGCAAAAUGGAGCAAUUUAACCUAACUCUGAUGCCAUUGAAUGUAAAAGAGCAAAAUUAAUGUGUACCUAAAUAUGUUGCAGCGGAAGUUAUUGAAUUUGCUACCAAAAAGAAUCGCCCUAUGUCCACUUUGUUUCUCUUGACACUACUAAAAAAAGGGAAAAAACUAACCACAGAAAACCAACCACAGCACAGAAAACCAACCACAAGCUGUGGUUGGAAAAAACCGACCACUUGUGGUUGGAUUUUAAUUUUUUUAAAUUUUUUUUAAAAAAGCGACCACAAGUGGUAGCUUUUUUAUUUUAAAAAAUUGAAAUAAUUAUUAAAAUAAUCUUAGUAUUAAUUAUUAUUUAUUUUGCGAAUGAAAAAUAAAAAAUAAAAAAACCGACCACUUGUGGAUGUUUUUUUUGAAAAAAAAAGUGAAAAAAUAUAUAAAAAAACCGACCACAAGUGGUCAGUUUUUUGAUUAUUUUUUAAUUAUUUUUUUCCAAAAAUCGACCACAAGUGGAUGGAUUUUAAUUUUUUAAUUUUUUUUUAAAAAGCUACCACAAGUGGUAGCUUUUUUAUUUUAAAAAAUAAAAAUAAUUAUUAAAAUAAUUUUAGUAUUAAUUAUUAAAAUAUUAUUUCCCGAAAACCUACCACUUGUUGUAAUUUUAAUAAAUUAUUUAUUUAUUUUUCAAAUAAAAAUUUAAAAAGCAAAUAAAUUUUAGUAACACCUAAUUAUAUAUAUGUAAUCAAAUAUAUAUAUUAUUUUCAUAAAAAGUAAUUAUAUAUGUAAUCUAAUACAUAUAUAAUUUUUUGAAAUUACACUGAUCACACCUACUCGAUAACCAGUAUAAUAAACAUAAUACGUUAAACACAAUCUUUUUCGUUUACUUAUGUUUCAGUGUAUAAAAUAAAUAUUUUCCUUUCUAUAAACGUUAAACGACGUUAAACAUGCAUAAUCUUUGUAUAAUGAAUAUGUGUGUGUGUGUAUAUAUAUAUAUAUCAUGUACUGAUCGAUUGAUGAACGAUGUAGUCAAAACGUAAUAUAUUAAGGUAAUCAACUAUAAUUAAUCGAUCACUAAUAAUCUUAGUAUGUAUAAAAAACACAUUACAUUAUAUUAUUGGAUAAUAUACUUGUUUAUGCAUGUGAUGUAUAUAGUACGUACUUUGAACUUGAUAUAAUCGAUAGUGUGUAUAUGUGUAUGUAUGUAUGUAUACGUAUAUGUAUAAUAUAUACAUAUUAUAUAGUGACGGUAUAUUAAUGACAUAAGAUAAACCAACUGAUAAUUUAUCUGAGUAUAUGUGAAAUACAAUGGGGUAAUAAAAUUGGGUAUGUGAUGUAUAUAUUACGUAUAUGAAAUACGUCGUAUUAUAUAAUUAGAUAAUAUACUCGUGUACGUAUGUGAUGACGUAUAGAUAUAGUACGUAUUGAUAUAGUCGAUAGUGUGUAUGUAUAUGUGUGUGUAUGUAUAGGUAUAUAUAUAGUAUAUAGAUAUUAUAUAGUGAAGGUAUAUUAAUGACAUAAGAUAAACCAACCGAUAAUUCAACUGAGUAUCUGUGAAAUACGUUACGUUGUAUAUUAUUAUGGGGUAUUUAUAGUACAUAUUUGAAAGCUGAUAAACAAUUGAAUAUAUGUAUAUAUACAUAUAUCUCGUAUAGUGACAUAUGCAGCAAUCGAAAGCUCGAUAACUGAAUGUAUAUAUCAAAAUAUUUUGAAUAAUGCAAUGAUGUCAUACUAUUGAAGGAAUAGAUAUACUAUUUUGUGUGAAUGUAGAUACAUGUAUAUUGUUGAAGUUGUAAUAACGUAAGACAAGUAAUCGAUAAUUUAUCUGAUUAACACAUUAUAUUACUGCGUACAUAUAUAUCUAAUUAAAAUCGAUAAUUUAUCUGAUUAACACGUUGUAUUAUGAGGUAUAAAAUCGUAAUUAAAAUUUAAUUAACCAAAAAUUUAUCGUAGUUUAUAAAAUUCAUUGAUAUUAUUAUACGAUUGAGAAAAUAUACUACCCGUGUUAAUAUGGUGGUAAAAAAACUAAAUAUCUGAUUUAUAUAUAUAUAUAUAUGCAUUGUAUUAAAUUAAUUGGAUACUAUUAUAAAUAUUAUAAAAUUUAUUAAAAAAUUAUUUUUUAUAUAAGUAGUCUAUUUUAAUAUCGACAUUUUUAUUAUUUAUUCUUUCAUUAUUAUUAAAUUUUCUAAAAUAGCAAAACCAAUUCAAUUCAAUUUUCCCAAUUCAUUUAAUUUCUAACCACAUUUUAUAUAUGUCUAUGUCAAUUUUAGCCUAAAUUUAUUUUCAAUUUGACCUCAAAUUAAAAUCUCCAAUUUCAAUUUCAUUUGACUCCUCUCAAUUUUAAUUAUAGCCAUUGAUCUCAUCAAAUCAAUGGCUGAGAUUAAAUCCACCAUUUAUCAUACUUUUAGUCAAAAUAAACUCAAACCCUAACCUUUUUUCACAAAGCAAAAGCUGCAGUAUUUCUCUCAUCUCCCUCUCAUCGAUCUCCCUCUGCCUCUCUCUCUCUCUAUAAAUGACGACGAACCCCGCACCGCCAGCCGUCUUCACCAACGCCAACAGUCGUCUCCAACUGGCAACCUUGUCAUCGUCUUUCACCAUUCCACGAGCUAGUGAAUUAGAGGUGUCCACAUAAGCUACGGAACUAUAUCAGUUGACCUUUGAUUUUACAUUCUACAUAAAGUUUUGCAAGCAUUUUGAAGAAUUUGUGUUUCAGUUAAGUUGAUGCCUUCCUAUUACGUAACAAACCGUUGUUUCAGAAAAACUACAUUAAUAUGUAUGUUUCAUAAUGUGAAAAAGGUGAACUUCAUGGAUAUCAUACUGUAAUUGGACUAUGAUAAAGAGAAAUAUUUGAUCGAUGAAGGGAGACAGAUGAACGUUUUUCUUUUUUUUACUUACAUAAGUACCUAUUAAGUCCACCGGUAAAGAAAACAAGUUGACUAAGCGAUGGAAACCUGGAAGGCUACAGCUACACCCUUCAUAAACAAAAAGAAGGUGUGAAAGGCUCACGUACUGUUUGUCUAAUUAUCUAAGCAAAGAUUUGUUUCUAGUGAAGGGAAAGAUUGUCUCACAUACUAUUCACAAACUAUUGUAUUUAAAAAUCUUGUUCUUGGGCUAUAUAUGUACCUAUGCAAAAGUACUAGAAAUAAAGUAUUAUCGCAAUUUAGAAAUGACUAUUUCUUUAUUUUGAAUGUGGUUUGUUAGGUCACUUAGUUGUUUGAAAAAGGUUAAGUCGAGGGACUUUGAAGUGGAUUUUUUUAUGUUUUACAUGUGGUUUGUUAGAUCACUUAGAUGCUCGAAAAUGGUUAACUUUAUUGACUUUAAAAGAGAUUUUUUUGUUUUGCUUGUGGUUAUGGUAGGUGACAUAGUUGGUUGAAAGUGAUUAAGACUUAGUUUGAAUGUUGUUUUAUUUUGAGUGUUAGUCGCUCAAAAAUGGUUAGGUUUAGGGACUUUAAAAGGGAUUUUUUUAUUUUGCUUGUGGUUAUGGUAGGUGACAUAAUUGGUUGAAAGUGGUUAAGACUUAGUUUGAAUGCUGUUUUGUUUUUAGAGUUAGUUGCUGGGACUUUAAAAGGGUUUUUUUUGUUUUUCUUGUGGUUAUAGUAGGUGACAUAGUUGGUUGAAAGUGGUUAAGACUUAGUUUGAAUGUUGUUUUGUUUUGAGUGUUAGUUGCUCGAAAAUGAUUAAGUUUAAGGACUUUAAAAUGAAUUUUUUUGUUUUGCUUGUGGUUAUGGUAGGUGACAUAGUUGGUUGAAAGUGGUUAAGACUUAGUUUGAAUGUUAUUUUAUUUUGAGAGUUAGUUGUUGAAAGUGGUUAAGACUUAGUUUGAAUGUUGUUCUCGAAAAUGGUUAAGUUUAGGGACUUUAAAAGGGGUUUUUAUGUUUUGCUUGUGGUUAUGGUAAGUGACAUAGUUGGUUGAAAGUGGUUAAGACUUAGAUUGAAUAUUGUUUUGUUUUGAGACUUAGUUGCGUCUCAACUAAUUUACUGAAUACAUGUUAUCAUUUCUAAUUGAGAUAUAAUGCUUUUUAUUGUAAGUACUCUCGGUAUUGCAGGAAAAGGAUUGCUUUGCUAUUUUUUCGGUGACCGCUUGUGUCUUUGAUAUUAAUUUAGGCCAAGAAAAGGUAAGUUGACUUCUCUCUAAUUUGUUAUGAUAAAGUGUUGUUUUUUUUCAUAUUGAAGUCUAGUGAAGCCGUGUGUGGUUGGUGACUUUAUUAGUUCAAAAUGCUUAAGUUUUGGUGACUUUAAAAGUGAACUUUUAUUUAGGAGGUGAUGUGGUUGGUGAUUUUAUUAUUUGAAAAUGCUUAAGUGCCGGUGACUUUAAUAGUGAAUUAGUGUUUACAAGGUGAUGUUGUCGGUGCCUUUGUUAGUUGAAAAUGCUUAAGUGCCGGGGACUUUAAUAGUGAAUUAGUGUAUACAAGGUGAUGUAGUUGGUGACUUUGACUUUAAAAGUGAACUUUUGUUUAGGAGGUGAUGUGGUUGGUAACUUUAUUUGUUGAAAAUGCUUAAGUGCCGAUGACUUUAAUAGUGAAUUAGUGUUUAGAAGGUGACGUGGUUGGUGACUUUAUCAGUUCAAAAUGCUAAAGUUUGGUGACUUUAAAAGUGAACUUUGGUUUAGGAGGUGAUGUGGUUGGUGACUUUAUUAGUUGAAAAUGCUUAAGUGUCGAUGACUUUGAUAGUGAAUUAGUGUUUACAAGGUGAUGUUGUUGGUGCCUUUGUUAGUUGAAAAUGCUUAAGUGCCGGUGACUUUAAUAGUGAAUUAGUGUAUACAAGGUGAUGUGGUUGGUGACAUUAUUAGUUGAAAAUGCUUUAGUGCCGGUGGCUUUAAUAGUGAAUUAGUGUUUACAAGGUGAUGUGGUUGGUGACUUUAUUAGUUGAAAAUGCUUAAGUUUUGGUGACUUUAAAAGUGAAAUUUUGUUUAGGAGAUGAUGUGGUUGGUAACUUUAUUUGUUGAAAAUGCUUAAGUGUCGGUGACUUUAAUAGUGAAUUAGUGUUCAGGAGGUGAUGUGGUUGGUGACUUUAUUAGUUGAAAAUACUUAAGUUUUGGUGACUUUAAAAGUGAACUGUUGUUCAGGAGGUGAUGUGGUUGGUGACUUUAUUAGUUGAAAAUGCAUAAGUGCCAGUGACUUUAAUAGUGAAUUAGUGUUUACAAGGUGAUGUUGUUCGUGCCUUUGUUAGUUGAAAAUGCUUAAGUUUUGGUUAAGUAUAAGAAUUUUAAAGGUAAUUUUUGUGUUUUGAAUGAUAGUUGGUUAGUGACUUAGACACUUGAAUAUGGUUAAGUAUAGGGACUUUAUAGGUGAUUUUUGUGAAUGUGACUUGAUAGGGACUUUGUGUUUUGAAUGUGAGUUAGUUAGUGACUUAGUCACUUAAUUAGUUGUAACUUCAUGUAAUUAGUUUAAUCUGAUUGAUUGCGUAGAUGGAACCUGAUUAUAGCUGGAUAUAUCAAUGGAACAAUGAUGAUAGAGUGGGUAUUAGGGAAGAAUUUGUUGAAGGUGUCAAAAGAUUCGUUGAACAUCCUAAGACACUUGAUAUGUGGACAUGUUAUCGGGUUAUUCAUUGUUCUUGUGUUAGAUGUGAUGGUAUAAAUCUUGUAAGUGAAGAAGAUGUGAAGGAACAUCUUUUUAGAAAGGGGUUUCACAAGUACAUUUUAAGAUUGCGUGGUAUUCAUGGGGACGUAGCACAAAAUAACUUUGUUGUUGGAGAAAGUAGUAGAUCUAUAGGGCAUAAUGAAUCUCAACAAACUAGGAUGACAGAAAUGGUGCACGAUGCUUUUGGGAUACAACAUGGGGUUGACAUUAGGAAAAAUGUUGAAGAUGUUCCUAAUAGCGAAGCGGGCAAUUUCUACAAAGAAUUGCAUGCUGCUAGUCAUCCUUUGUUUGAUGGGUGUUCGUACUCUCGUUUGUCUGUUACUGUUAGAUUACUAAGUAUUAAAUCUGACUGGAAUAUUGCUGAAGGAGGAAUGGACUCAAUGAUAGACCUUAUUAAAGAGUUAGUUGACCCCGGCUUGGAGGUUCCUGAUUCUUUCUAUAAGGCAAAAAGAUUGGUGUUAAAGUUAAGUCUCUCCUCGAUUAGAAUUGAUUGUUGUGAAAAUGGCUGUAUGUUAUACUUUAAGGAAGAUGCUAACCUAGAGUUCUGUAAGUUUUGUUAGCACUCUCGAUUUGAAGCUAUUGUUGACUCUUAGGUUUUUGUUUGUUGUAUGUCUUGUACUUUGAAACUAUUGUUGUAGUAUUUUCAUAUUUUGUUGAACAUUUUGUAUGUCCUAUACACUUUUGAAAGCAUUUACAUUUGUUUUUUGAUUGUUAUUGCUGCUGUAUAUGAUUUUAUUCUGUUGUAUUUCAUUGUUGUUGUUGCAUAUGCUGUAUUUGGGUUUACAAUUUUAAUUUUUUUAAAAAUACCCAGAAAAAUUGACCACAAGUGGUCGGUUUUUUUAAUUUUUUUUUGCAAAAAACCUACCCCUUGUGGUAGGUUUUUUUUUUAUUAAAUUAAUAAAUUAAUUUAAUAAAAAUCCUUCCACAAGUGGUUGGAUUUUUAAUAAAUUAAUUAAUUAAUUUAAUAAAAAACCUUCCACUUGUGGUCGGUUUUUUAAUAAAUUAAUUAAUUAAUUUAAUAAAAAACCUUCCACAAGUGGUCGGAUUUUUAAUAAAUUAAUUAAUUAAUUUAAUAAAAAACCUUCCACUUAUGAUCGGUUUUUUAAUAAAUUAAUUAAUUAAUUUAAUAAAAAACCUUCCACACAUGGUAGUUUUUUUUCUCUUCCUUCUUUUUAGUAGUGUGAAAACGAAAAAUUAUUUCACAAACUAAAUACCUUCUUUUGGAUGUUUUUGUUUGUCAAGAGUUCUUUAUUUUUUGUUUUUUCACAACUUUCUCCCCGUGAAGAAGAAGAACGAACUUGGAAUUUAUAAGGGAAAGUGGAGUGGUUUUCUUUGUAACUAUUCCUCCCAAAUUUAAAAUACAUAGUUUUAUCUCUCUUUUUUUUUUUCCAAAUAAUCAAAAAAUAAAAAAUGGGUCGGAUCAAGUCGAUCCACAUGGGCGAUCCAUGCCCCGUAAUCCAACAGGAGUUUAGUAUGUGCAAGAGAUGACUUUUGCAUGGGUUCGAUCCCCAAUGACUACAAUAUAUUUUAUCUUUUUAAUAUUUUCAAAAGAGCUUCAAUUUUAUUGAAAAAGCUUCCUAAAUUUUCUUGCUCCGACACUGCAUUCAUGUUGGAUGCCAUAAAUCUGACUAAUCUGAAUUCAUAGAGUAUAAGAUCGAUUUAAGGGAGAAGCGCUCCCUAGAACCUUGAUAGGAUUUUUCAUAAACAGAAUUAGAGUUAGUUCGGACGUUAACCUUAAGCCUUUAAUUAAAAAUAGAGAGAUCUUAUCCAUCCUACCACAACCCAGAUUGGUACGGCCAUCAUCCUUGGUUAUUUACUUGUCUAAAGAUGUCUGAUCCAUUGUCAUAGUCGGUAAUAUUCAUGAAAAAAGGUUGAUGUGAAUGAAUUGAAGAUAUAAGAAAUUAAUCUACACAAAUAAAGAGAAUUCAAUCUAUAACAAAUAAAUUCAGAGUUGUCUAAUACUUUUAACUUCUGAAAAUCUUAAUAAUAGAGAAUGGGUACAUACCUUCUUCAAUGCGAUCCAAGAGACCCUUCUACAACUUGUAUGAAUCGGAACCUCUUUCUUUUUUCACUCCCUUAGUUCAAUUUUACUUUAUCACAUUUUGCUUUUGAGAGUCGAACUGUAUGAAUUUUGAUAAACUUUUAAGAUGGUAGUGAUUUUUCAUAUAAUUUUCAAACAUCUACAUUAUAUAUUUGAAAUAUUAAAUUAAAGUAAUCUAGUUUAGCUCCCAAAAUUUCUCAUAUUAAUUCUCGUGAAGUGAAAUGAGACAAGUAAAAGUGAACAGGAAGAGUAAAAGCUUUUUGUGCUUUCGUUCGUCUGAAGAAUAGUUCAUUAAAAUUGUAGAAUCUUUAAGUUCUAGGAGUCAAAACCAAGUGGGUUAAAUGAAGGGAAUUUUUAUGGUACAGUCGUCCAUAAAAAUAAUACUAGACAAGUAUAUAUAUAUAUAUUUAGUAUAUAACAUACAUAUUUUAUAUGCAAUUAGUGUAUAUAUUUAUAUUAUUUAUAUAUUUGAUUGGCGAUUGUAAUUAUCCGUAUCAGGGAUAGAAAUAUAUUAAAAGCUCAUUAAUUAAGGUUAAAUAUGUUCAAUGGAAUAACGUGGGAUCAUUAUUUUCUUCAGCUCCUCCAUAUAGUUAUUUCUAUACUACUUGAAAAUUAGUUGUUAAUGUUUGAAAAACAUGUUACUAAAAUUUUAGCUUAUUUACAGCUGCCUUGUAUUUCUAUACUACUUGUAUUUUAGAUAUAACCUCAAUUUGAUUGCUGGGGUUUGUUUAAGGUAUUGGUUGGAGCUUUUGUUUCAAAUUUCAACUCAUUUAGAGCAGAUUUGAGGAAGUUGAUUUGGAAGUACAUUUGGAUUUCAAAUAUUUGUGUAUUUCCUGUAUAUUUAUUUAUAUUUUUGGUAUAUAUGUUGAUAUACAGUGAUAUCAAUGUGAUAUGUCCCCUGUAAGAAGUUCAUGAGGUGAUGCUGCAGCUUGAAUUAGCAUAGAAUAAAAGGAGCCGUGUUAGGAAUUGACUUAACUUAAAAGACAGAUGCAUCAUUGAGAGGAGAGGGAGCAACAUAUUUGAUCUUGUAGUGCACUCAUUCCUGUCACAAGAAUGAAAUGAACCCCCACAAUUGUAUAGGAGCAAAGUUUGAGUAUUUCAUGCUCUUUUCAUAGCUGGUUGUAAAAUUAUACUGAUUAUGUUAUUGUUAACUCAACUAUGAAUUCAAAUACCGAACUAAUCCAAAGCACCUCCAAUCCUCC
rnacentral:lncRNA from 1 species